rnacentral:misc_RNA from 1 species
GAAAUGCGAUAAUUAACGUGAAUUGCAGAAUUCAGUGAAUCAUCGAGUCUUUGAACGCACAUUGCGCCCGCCAGUAUUCUGGCGGGCAUGCCUGUUCGAGCGUCAUCUCGACCAUCAAGCCCCCGGGCUUGUGUUGGGGACCCUGCGGCUGCCCGCAGGCCCUGAAAUGCAGUGGCGGGCUCGCUGUCCACACCGAGCGUAGUAGCAUUACACCUCGCUCAGGGCGUGCGGCGUGCUCCGGCCGUUAAACGCGACCUUAACGCAUACCAAGGUUGACCUCGAAUCAGGUAGGGAUACCCCCUGAAUUUAA